rnacentral:rRNA from 1 species
GCAGUCGAACGGCAGCAAUAUUAAAUUUAUUUAGUAGAUGGCGAGUGGCGCAGGGNGAGUAACGCGUACACAACCUACCCUCGAGAGGGGUAUAGCCCAUGGGAAACUGGGAAUAAUACCGCAUAAUGUUUAUGAUGUGCAUGCAUUAUAAAUUAAAGUUGAGGCGCUCGAGGAUGGGUGUGCGUUCCAUUAGCUAGUUGGUGAGGUAAAGGCUCGCCAAGGCGACGAUGGGUAGGGGGCGUGAGAGCGUGAUCCCCCACACGGGUACUGAGACACGGACCCGACUCCUACGGGAGGCAGCAGUAAGGAAUAUUGGACAAUGGGCGGAAGCCUGAUCCAGCCAUCCCGCGUGCAGGAUUGACAGCCCUAUGGGUUGUAAACUGCUUUUAUAAUGGAAGAAACCCCCCGACGUGUCGGGGGCUGACGGUACAUUAAGAAUAAGCACCGGCUAACUCCGUGCCAGCAGCCGCGGUAAUACGGAGGGUGCGAGCGUUAUCCGGAAUCACUGGGUUUAAAGGGUGCGUAGGCGGCCAUGUAAGUCAGAGAUGAAAUCCUACAGCUUAACUGUAGAACUGCCUUUGAAACUGUGUGGCUAGAAUAGAGUUGAGGUUAGCGGAAUGUGACAUGUAGUGGUGAAAUGCAUAGAUAUGUCAUAGAACACCAAUUGCGUAGGCAGCUAACUGGGCUUUUAUUGACGCUGAGGCACGAAAGCGUGGGGAGCGAACAGGAUUAGAUACCCUGGUAGUCCACGCCCUAAACGAUGCUAACUCGACGUAUGGAUUUAAUUUGUGCGUCCAAGG